rnacentral:rRNA from 1 species
UAUUGUGGCCAUACUACUCUGAACACGCCUGAUCUCGUCGGAUCUCGGAACCUAAGCAGGGUCGUUCCUAGUUAGUACCGGUACUUGGAUGGGAGAAUACCAGGUACUGCAAAAA